AAAAUCCGUNGACUUUAAAAAUCGUGAGGGUUCAAGUCCCUCUAUCCCCA
rnacentral:tRNA from 1 species